CGUGUCGUGAGAUGUUUGGGUUAAGUCCCGCAACGAGCGCAACCCUUGCCUUUAGUUGCCAUCAUUUAGUUGGGCACUCUAGAGGAACUGCCGGUGACAAGCCGGAGGAAGGUGGGGAUGACGUCAAGUCCUCAUGGCCCUUAUGUCCUGGGCUACACACGUGCUACAAUGGUGGUGACAGUGGGAAGCUAGGUAGUGAUACCGUGCUGAUCUCUAAAAGCCAUCUCAGUUCAGAUUGUACUCUGCAACUCGAGUACAUGAAGGUGGAAUCGCUAGUAAUCGUGGAUCAGCAUGCCACGGUGAAUACGUUCCCGGGCCUU
rnacentral:rRNA from 1 species